UACAGAGGUGGCUAGCGUUGUUCGGAAUUACUGGGCGUAAAGGGAGCGCAGGCGGCUAGGUAAGUCUGAAGUGCAAGCCCGGGGCUCAACCCCGGAAUCGCUUUGGAUACUACCAAGCUUGAGUAUGUCAGAGGUGAGCGGAAUUCCAGGUGUAGCGGUGAAAUGCGUAGAUAUCUGGAGGAACAUCCGUGGCGAAGGCGGCUCACUGGGACAAAACUGACGCUGAGGCUCGAAAGCGUGGGGAGCGAACGGG
rnacentral:rRNA from 1 species